rnacentral:rRNA from 1 species
CAAAGAUCGACCUCAGAUCAGACCGGCAACCCGCUGAAUUUAAGCAUAUUACUAAGCGGAGGAAAAGAAACUAACCAGGAUUCCCUCAGUAACGGCGAGUGAAGAGGGAAGAGCCCAGCGCCGAAUCCCCGCUGCUGACGGGCGUGGGAAAUGUGGCGUAAAGAAGAGCUCUCUGUCCGGCGACGCUCCGGGGCCCAAGUCCUUCUGAUCGAGGCUUAGCCCGUGGACGGUGUGAGCGCGGUGGCGCCCCCGGCUCGUCGGGACGGACUCUUCACGGAGUCGGGUUGUUUGUGAAUGCAGCCCAAAGUGGGUGGUAAACUCCAUCUAAGGCUAAAUACUGGCACGAGACCGAUAGUCAACAAGUACCGUAAGGGAAAGUU